CCCUUAGAUGUUCUGGGCCGCACGUGUGCUACACUGAGUGGAUCAGCGGGUCAGGUUGCGCGAAAGCGUUUCCUAAUCUUGAAAUCCGCUCGUGAUGGGGAUUGACGGUUGCAAUUUUCUGUCAUGAACGAGGGAUACCUUGUAAGCGCGGGUCAUCAUCCCGCGCUGAAUACGUCCCUGCCCUUUGUACACACCGCCCGUCGCUCCUACCGAUUGAGUGGUCCGGUGAGGCUUUGGGAUCUGAGCGGAAAGAGCGUUUCGCUGUUUCUGCUCGGAAAACUCAGUCGAACCUUAUCAUUUAGAGGAAGGAGAAGUCGUAACA
rnacentral:rRNA from 1 species